rnacentral:rRNA from 1 species
UACGUAGGGGGCUAGCGUUGUCCGGAAUCAUUGGGCGUAAAGAGCGCGUAGGCGGCCAGAUAAGUCCGGUGUGAAAGUCACAGGCUCAACCUGUGAAUGCCGCUGGAAACUGUCUGGCUUGAGUCCGGAAGGGGCGAGUGGAAUUCCUGGUGUAGAGGUGAAAUUCGUAGAUAUUAGGAAGAACACCGGUGGCGAAGGCGGCCCGCUGGAUCGGUACUGACGCUGAGGUGCGAAAGCGUGGGGAGCAAACAGG